rnacentral:rRNA from 1 species
GAUGAACGCUGGCGGCGUGCCUAAUACAUGCAAGUCGAGCGAACAGACGAGAGUGCUUGCACUCUCUGACGUUAGCGGCGGACGGGUGAGUAACACGUGGGUAACCUACCUAUAAGACUGGGAUAACUUCGGGAAACCGGAGCUAAUACCGGAUAAUAUUUAGCUUCGCAUGAAGCAAUAGUGAAAGACGGUUCUGCUGUCACUUAUAGAUGGACCCGCGGUGUAUUAGCUAGUUGGUGAGGUAACGGCUCACCAAGGCAACGAUACACAGCCGACCUGAGAGGGUGAUCGGCCACACUGGGACUGAGACACGGCCCAGACUCCUACGGGAGGCAGCAGUAGGGAAUCUUCCGCAAUGGACGAAAGUCUGACGGAGCAAUGCCGCGUGAGUGAAGAAGGUUUUCGGAUCGUAAAACUCUGUUGUAAGGGAAGAACAAGUACGUUAGUAACUGAACGUACCUUGACGGUACCUUACCAGAAAGCCACGGCUAACUACGUG